CACUUGCCUCUGCCUCCCAAGUGCUGGGAUUAAAGGCGUGCGCCACCACCCCGGCUUAACAAGUUUUUCUUAUAAUUGAUAAAUCAGUAUAUAUCUGAAUAAAAAUCUUAUAACUCUGAACAUUCAUUUGUGGCUGAGGCCUCUUCUGUCUCUAGCUCAUAUCCUCUUUCUUCUGCUUUUGUCUAUGACAGUGUACAUGUGUUUGAGAAAAUGCAUAAAGAGCUGUGUUGUAUGAAAAUAGGCCAUUCAGCAUGCUUGAAAUAGUGAAAGUUUUCAUAUUGCUUAGAAUAUGAGAAUUUAGUAAUUGAACUCUGUCCUUGUUACAGGUGUAUAAAGUUUGUUUAUAAAGAAAAGGAGGACAUGUACUGCAUUUGAAAAGGAUGAAAUAUGUUUUUAUAACAAGGUUUAUAUAGCCUUCCCACUCUUAAUGUGUUAGAGAGAGUAAUAUUGAUAGAAAUAGACAGACGAUGGUUUGGGAAACUGGGAAGUUAACUUUUUUUUUUCUUGUUAGCUUUUUAGAUGCCUUGGUUAAUUGAAUAUUGACUUUGGAAAGAAAUUAUCCCAGGCUAGAACUGCCUAAGUGUAUUCCCUGGGAACAAGGAAAUGUUCUCUAAUCAUGUGGCACCCUACAUACAUGGACAUAGAAGAAGGAAUCUACUUUUGUCUGCUUGCCCAACUCUUGCUGACAAGAUCAUCUACUCUAUAGAUGUGGCAUUUUCAGGAUUCCAAAGCAGACUGAAGACCAGCAGCACUCCAGUAAUCUUCCAGGCCUUUGGCACCAGAUUGGGGCCACUGAGACAUUUGGCCUUGAGGACUAAGCAACUACUGGAUUCUUGGCCCUUGAGACAGUGUGAGAUAGACGUUGUUGGAAUACCUGUAUCAUAUCCUGAAAGCCAAUCUAUAAAUCCUCUUUUAAUAUAUUUAUUCAUUCUAUCUGUUUCUUUAAAGAACCUUGACUAGUGUGUUUAUUAAAAUGACAUCCCAUUCUCAAAAAAAGAUGGAUCAGUAAAAAUGUUUUAAUUUUAAUUUUAUUGUUUUUUAUUAAAAAUAAUUGCAUAUGUGUGUGUAUGUGGGGUGAAGGGGGGCAUACCACAUGUGUACAGGUACCUGAAGAGGCCAGAAGAGAAAGCCAGAGUUAUAGGUAGCUGUGAGCCAUAUGACCUGGAUGCUGGGAAACAAAUUUAGGUCCUCUGAGAAGCAGCAAGUGCUUUUAACCAUUGAGUCAUCUGCCCAGCCCCAGCAAAAAGAGUUUUACAUGCUUGGUUUUAAAAGAAAUUUAAAAGGACAGUAACUAGGAAUAUAUGAAGUUGAAGUAAAGAUUUGGAUGUUUGUUAUCAAAAGAUAGCAUGAUUGCAACACUCUAAAGGAAGAAGUUGAAGACAAGAGUGCCAAGUAUUCAGUGCAUGUUGGAAAGAAGAUUGUUUCAGAAUUGUUAAUAUAUGUAUUGGAAGAUGUGGUAAUCUGAGCUAUGAACACAUGGGAUAUAUUUUUCUUAUAACUUAACUAGAACAGCAUCCACCAAUAAAUAGAACAUGCAAACUCAAUUUUAAAAGUCUUUUGGAACUCAAAGUCUCUACAUUGGCUAGAUGAGGGACUUAAGACCUGUACUUUAGUACUUUUCAAUUUUUUAGUUAUUAACUCUAGUUAUAUAAAAUUAUAUUAAAUGCAUUAAUUACUUGAUUUCCUGAUUUUUCAGGAUCGGACUUUCAUUGCAUAUACUCUGUUUGGAUAUAAUAUUCAGUUUUAAAGAUGUU